AUUUGACCUCAGUGUGACAGCCUUCUCUUCUUGUAUGUUCUCUGUGCCUGAUAUUUUGAUUGAUUAUUAUUUCUGGACACCUGAAUGAAAGAGUUGUUAAUGACACUAUUCAGGGUUUACUCAUAAAUCGUAUAUGUUGAAAAGAUUUUCUUCCUCCUCUGUUAGUUCAUCUUUUAAUAAUGAUGGGUAACUCCCAGAAGAAGCACCUGACCACAUCAUUCAAAUAUUUAAAAGAAAGUCAAAUGAAGAAUAUUUUGGCUAGUUCAUUGAAAAGUUUGCACCUGACUGCCUGAUGCUGAUCUAUAUUCACCCCUAAGAAGACAUCUUAAUAAGAAGAUAAAGUGAUCGAACAAAGGGAUUACUUGGCAGAGAUAUGAGAGAACUGGGUUCUUAAGCCCACUUUGCCAUGAACUUGGCUGAGAAGUUCUCAUAUUGUAAACAACCAUUAUUUUAUUGCUAUGUGUCCUCACCCUGCCCCUUUUGUAAGAUUUUUAAAAGGACUAAAACACAAAUAAGCGAGCAAGCAAUAUAUGCUGCAUCCAGAAUCUCAUCUUUCUCAAUGUGUCCUUGCUAUGGUUGACAGCAGAGAUGAAUAGGCCUUUGUCUGGACUUCUUUAAUUCCUGCAAUGAUUCCAGCCACAUCUCCUUAAUUACAUGCCUAGGUGACUGGAACAGGUUGUUGUACUGGAGGGAGCAUAGAAAGUCAGCACCAAGACAAAAGUGUG
rnacentral:lncRNA from 1 species